rnacentral:lncRNA from 1 species
UUUAAUCUUUAGAUUUCUGUAAGUAUAGACUGGGUCCAGUAAUUCCAACCCAGAGUAUUUUUUACAUAGGAAGCAUCUCUUUGAGUGUUAUGUACUAAGUUCAAUGCUCACAUGAACAUCAUUCUGUAUUCUUACAAGAUUUCAUUUUGGAAUUAGGACUUAAUUAGAUAAAGCUUGAAGAAUAAGAAGGAAGAACUACUGAAAAGACAAAAAAGGACUCAAAGGGAACUAACAGUACACAAUUACUCUUUUAUUUACAAGUCUAAUAAGUAUAAAGUAGACCCCUGAGAAAGGCAAUGUAGGAAAAAUUCAACAGGAUACUCCCUCUGGCUGAGAAUUGAUGCAAGUCUACAAAGAGGCAUACACACCAGAAAGGAUACCUAAGUUCAACAAUAAGCAUAUUCUGUUCUCCUUGGUAGCUAUAUUUCUACCUAUAAAUGCAUUGGUGUUCUGACAUAUAAAUUUCAUUUUUCCUUUCAAGGCUUGGGUGAAGCAGAAUUGGAUGAUUCCUUGAAGGUCUUGGUUUGUAGCUAUGACAGAAUGCCCCCAGGAAGCAACUGGCCCUCCUGUCAGGGUAGUGGCACAGGACUCUAACUGAUAAGGUUACAGCUCAUUGAUGAUACAUUUAGCCUCAGGUCCAUGUGAGAAAAGAGCAAGACUCAUCUGUGAGCUUGAGAACUUUCAGCUCUGUGCAGCUCCAUAUCAGCUCCAGACCCAGGAUGCUGGGCCAUGUAACUGCUACCUUGGGACAUUUUCUGGACAGCUGCUCCCUGUGCAUUCUGACUGCUCUCUUCAGUAUUGUUUGCAUCUGCUCUUCCAGGAAUAUUUACUAUGUUUGACCAAGAAGCUGAAAUGAGUCUCAAAAGCAUUUUUGUUUUAGCCAUAGGGUUUAGAGCUAUUUCCCCAGGUUUCGGGGCUCAGUGAUUCCUUCUGAUGGUGCGAUAGCUGUAGACCAGAUAUGAGGAGACCCUGAGCCACUGCUCUGGAAAUUAAAAACACAGCUGACGUCUUUUCAAUUGAGAUUGUCGUUUCGAGUUUUUUCUGAGUACUGUUACUCAAGGAUAUGCAACUGGCCAAAACUGUGUUCUUAAAAUUGUAUUUUUCCUACUUGGCUUGAAAGUACAAGUCUUUCCUAUUCAUGUUAGACUUUUGGUAGUUUUGAGAAACAAUCUUGGUAAGCAAAUAAAAUAUUGAAAAAAAUUUCUAUAUGAUAGUAAAUAUAUAAGGAGUGAAGUUGUUUACAGAUGGUUAGUUGUAUGGACAAAGGGAAAAUUCUGUAAAAAUAAGUUAAAAGGUAAGGAUUGAUGAAGCUAAUGGUACCCAGGUAACCUAUGGUAAUUUAUCAGUGACUCCAUCAGAAUUUUCUUUAAUAAAAUCUUUAUCCAACAACUAAAGCUUGUAUUAACUAAAAAUUUGUUUCUUAUAGACAGUCUCAU